GAUGAAGAACGCAGCGAAGUGCGAUACGUAAUGUGAAUUGCAGAAUUCAGUGAAUCAUCGAAUCUUUGAACGCAUAUUGCGCUCUCUGGUAUUCCGGAGAGCAUGCUUGUUUGAGUAUCAGUAAACACCUCAACUUCCAUAUCUUUUUUUGAAAUGGGAGUUGGACUUGAGUGAUCCCAACGCUUUUCCUCACCGAAAAGUGGCGGGUUACUUGAAAUGCAGGUGCAGCUGGACUUUUCUCUGAGCUAUAAGCAUAUCUAUUUAGUCUGCCUAAAAAACAGAUUAUUACCUUUGCUGCAGCUAACAUAAAGGAGAUUAGUUCUUGUGCUGACUGAUGCAGGAUUCACAAAGACAGCUUCGGCCGACUUUGUAAACUCGAUCUCAAAUCAAGUAAGACUACCCGCUGAACUUAAGCAUAUCAAUAAGCGGAGGA
rnacentral:misc_RNA from 1 species